GUCCCUUUUGUGCAGCUGACCACAAUUCUUGACUGAAUGUUGUGUCUCUCAAUUCAAACCGUAAACCAGGCCGGAUGUUGCUAUAUUUAUUAUUGGCCAUGUAAAUACGAUACUUGAGAGAAAUGCCUUUGUCUGACAGAUAGAUGGACUGCUGAGUAGCUGUUUUAAGUCCAAUGCUACACUCGACAGCUGCAACGUCGAUACCCAGCACGUCAACGUUGUGGGCGUAAAAAUAGACGACAGUAUGGAACUUAUCGAAAAUGGUACCGUUACCCACUAAUCGAAUACCGAACCGGAAAGUUUUAUGACCGUCAGAAAUUUCACACGUUUCGCUUUCCACACUGAAAAAUGGGGAAACGACUUUAAUGUUAGUAUUCGGCACUUUGGCGUCACCACUCGUGCUAAGCCAUUCGUAAUCUCGAAAAACGAAUUCAUUUUCCUUCAACAACAUGAUGACAAAGCUCUUGAUGAACUGACGUAUGAUUCAAGUCAGGCCAAACGACUAAUGGAAUUGAUCAAUAGGAUGGGAUCGACGUUGACGAAUCGUUUCAAAACGAAUGAUCGUCUCGAGUAUUGCAUUAAGUGACGAGAGAGAAAACAGAAAGAUGUGGAUCGCAAACGGUGGUGCUUAGCAAAAUAAUUAAUGGCCUUGGCAAAUUUUUAUCUCGAGCUGAUCCGUGAGUGGGGGGAAAUUAUUUCUUCUAGCUAUACUUUUCAGUGGUUUACAAUACAGUCACGCACAUCAUCGUGACGUGAAUUAUGUUGUCGACCCUCACGGAAAAACGGUUCACGCGAUGAAAAUGGCAAGACAUUGACGUCAGGUUAGACCUUCGUUUGGUGAUACUCGGAUUGUCUGAAAACCCUUGUUACUCUUGAAGGAUAAAGCCCUUCGUAGAGCACAUUCCUAAAACCUUUAGGAAAAUUAGGUAAAACAUGUUUUUAUUUUAAACCAAAUGUCUUCUAAUUUACGAUUUCAAAAAUCUCAUUUCCGUACUGUCAAAAGGAUAAUACAAAUACUGGCUGUGUAUAAAUCCGUAAUAUAACAAAAAAAAACGUUUGCGGAAAUUAUCAUGUGGCCGGAAAACUAUUCAAAAAAUAACAUGAAAACAUUUUAGUUUGGCCAUGAAAAGAGAAUACUUGCAAAUAGACAUUCCACAUGUCAGAAAUGAUGUCGUGUCUGGCUCAAUCAAUGGACUUGCCCUUUUUUUUCGUAAUAGACGAUUUCGGAACGUCAUCGUCUGGUAUGAAAACUGGAUUGUUCAAUCCGUGGUCGACUCCACAUUUGCCUACAAUGUCGGGCUCGUCUGGCAUUUUCUUUUCAAUUUUCUCUCUAUUCAAAUGUCGACGGCGAAUGUAGAAAACGUUAAAGAAAAAGUACAAUACACCGACAAAGAGA